UAAAUUGAAUAGACUAGAGCAGUAAAAGAUUAUAUUUUUUCAGAGAGUUAGUGGAAGGUGAGAACUAAUAUUAUAUAACUUUGAACUUACUAGAUUAAAAUCUAUUCUCCAUGGCUGGAUUAAAAGCUAUCUAAGAGGGUCUAUGUAUAUAGUAGACUAAUUAGGGUGGUACCGCGAAGAUUUAUCCUCGUCCCUAAA
rnacentral:ncRNA from 4 species